GUUCUUUUAGUAUUAACUAGUACAAGUGACUUCCACUCACUAAGUCUUAAUUUAACUUAAGAAAGAA
rnacentral:tRNA from 1 species